CAAAAACGUUCCCAUACUACAUUAAACCUCCAGUCAAACAUCCUCAACAUUUCCAUCUGUCAGCUCAAAAACACGAGCUUUUUAAGGGGCACUUGAAUGCACCAUAUUCCGCUUUCCUGGAAAACAUUUGGAGCUUCUUUGGAAUAGAAAAACACGAGCACAUCCAAAAGUGUGAUUAAUCUGCGAAACGGGCGUGAAAUGUGAUUCCAAGAACUAUAAAAGGAACAAAAUAAUCCAAAACAAGAAAAGAAACACCACAACACACCUGCAGCUGAACGCACACUUCCAAGCACUCAGUAAAGUAUACAAAAGCCAAACAUCUCUCCACAGACACGUAAAUAAACUCAGAUAAAGUUGUACUAAAAGACAAAAACAUGUUUAUUUUCCAACCCUGAAAUAAAAAAAUUCUUAAAAGGAGUUUAUACUGUCAGAUCUGGAUUUAAAAUGGUAGAACAUGUGAGUGUGUGUUACUGGGAGGAGUCUGGAGUUCCUGUAUCCAGCUGCUGUGUGUUUGGAGGAUCACUGCCAUCAGGCUGAUCUCCGAGCAGCCUCAGAGUGAGAUGAAGGGGAUCAAUCGGCAUCAGAUCUGUCACACCUUUUACAAUGAAACCAGUUGGAUCAGCUGAUGCAGAGGAGCUCAGACUAGCAGUACAAUUUGAGAUGAAGAGGAGAGCCUGAAGACUUUUUCCACGGAACAAACCGAAGGUGGUCAUCAUGUCUCUGUGGAUGAUCCUUCCCGUCAGCCUGCCUGUCUUCACCAUCACUGGGAUAUGGGUCGUAUAUGCAAUGUCCCUGUACAACCAGCAUGUCUGUCCUGUCCAUAACUGGCUUUACAAUGAGUCAUGUGAGGAGCAGCUCCCACUACAGAGGGGUCCAGUCCUGUGCUGCACCCUGGACAACAUACCACUCAUCAGGUCAGUGAACCCACCUCUGCAUACAUAUGUUAGUCAUUCUGUUUUUGUAUAACUCCUAUUAUAUAGUACAUAUGUCAGUUUCCUGUAUGUGAUCCUCAAUGAACCAAACAAUAGAACAGUGUUGACAUCGAGACGGCGGUUUCUUGAAGCCACAAUGACGAAACGAACCGAGGAUGAUCCUUUUUCCUCUCUCAGCAUAACAAUAAUAAUACAACAAUACACAUGUGGUGGCGGGUAUCCACUGAUGGUGAAAUAGCAGCUUGCCUCACUCUGGUCUGUGGUUUUCAACCAGUUAUAUUUAUAUGGUCUGGGCUUCUUUAUUCUAACCAUGCUUAGGUGCUUAACUUUUGCAUUUGUUUUUACUCUUUUUUUUGUUGAAACCCAAAUAGGAAAUCAAGAACAUUGUGUUCUACUUGGCACACAGGCCUGUGAUUAUGAAAAAAACUAGUAUGAGUCAUGGACAGCAUGUGAAAUAAAAGACAUUUAAGUGGUUGCAACAGAACAUUCAUCAAUCUUAAUCUGUUGAAUAUUGUGCACUGAUGUAAUGCUAUUUUUCCAGAAUUAAUACAGUAAGCACCAUGGUUACGCUCAGGUGAAGUCUUUAAAGUGAAGGAGGUUAUAUCCAGGGGUGCACAUAACUGUUACGCAGGUACGCAUGCACGGCAACAAUCUGAAAUGCGUACCGUCACUUGUGUCACAAAGCGCAUUUUCGUACCGACGUACUUGUGAAGCUUAGAGAUGGCAAAUCCGGAUCCUUUUACGGACUCAGGGUAUUCUGAG